rnacentral:lncRNA from 1 species
GUGGGGGCAGGGAGUAGGCAGCUCAGUGGGAGGAAAUGAGGCUGGACAACAGCCAGCUCCCAAGGGAAGCGCUUCUUGCCACAUCUGGCCAGCAUGUGUCUGGGCAAUAGAUGAUGAAGGCAACAAAGAGGCAGCCUUGCUCCUUGCGCUGGGCAGGUAGUCUUUCCAAGCACACAUACGUACACCUCCCCACCAACAAUGCAAUCUGCUGUUGCUACAAAGGAGCUAGAGAAAAGUUCUUUUGUGACUCUGGGCAAGGCCAGCCGUGAGUGGAGCUGGGCUUAACGGUGUGGGAGAAGCUGUCCCAGAGAUUAAGGAGCUUGAGAAGGGAAGAUGGAAUCACAGCUGAAAACCUCAAAAUAAGGUUGUCCUGCAUCAUCCAGGUGGGCCCAACACAAUCAAAAGGAUCCUUAAAUGUGGAAGAGGGAAGCAAGAGCCGUCAGAGAAAGACUUGGAGAGAGAAGGGACCACCAGCCAAGGAAUGCCAGCAGUCUCCAGAAGCUGGAAAGGAAAAAGCAAGGAAACAGAUUCUCCCUGAGAGCCUGCAGGUAGGAAGCCAACACCUUGACUCGAGCCCCCUGUGUCCCAGUUUGGACUCUGACCUCCAGAACUGUAAGACAGGACGUUUGUUAUCUACAUAACAAAUUUGUUAUAAUAAUGUGUUGUUUUAAGCCACCGACUUUGGGGUUACAACAGCAAAGCACCCUUGGCUUAACCAUCAUUGCUCAUCAAGACUAAGGCUAGAAUUUGCUCCUCUAGGUAACCCCAGUCCUGGCUGAGUCAGGUGGCAUCUGAAAAUCAGAAGAAGGCAGUUGGGCUCAGGGGGUAGGAGAGCCCUACAG